rnacentral:rRNA from 1 species
GAAAGUAGGAAAGGGCGCAUGGCGGAUGCCUUGGCUCUCGGAGGCGAUGAAGGACGUGAUAAGCUGCGAUAAGUCACGGGGAGGUGCAAAUAACCUUUGAUCCGUGAAUCUCCGAAUGGGACAACCCGAUAUCCUGAAGGGAUAUCACCUCAUCUAGUUGAGGAGCUAACGCAGGGAACUGAAACAUCUUAGUACCUGCAGGAAAAGAAAAUAACAAUGAUUCCCCCAGUAGUGGCGAGCGAACGGGGAAGAGCCCAAACCAUUCAUGUUACGGCAUGAAUGGGGUUGUAGGACCACGGCGUUGCAAGAACUCUUGUGAGAAGAACAGCCUGGAAAGGCUGACCACAGACGGUGACAGUCCGGUAUUCGAAGCAAGACGAAGCAUAGUGGUAUCCUGAGUAACGCGGAACACGAGGAAUUCUGCGUGAAUCUGCCGGGACCAUCCGGUAAGGCUAAAUACUCCCGAGAGACCGAUAGUGGACCAGUACCGUGAGGGAAAGGUGAAAAGCACUUCGAACAGAAGAGUGAAAUAGUACCUGAAACCGUGCGCCUACAAGCGGUCGGAGCACGAAAGUGUGACGGCGUGCCUUUUGCAUAAUGAACCUACGAGUUACCGUAUCUGGCAAGGUUAAGGGUCACGAGACCUGCAGCCGAAGCGAAAGCGAGUCUGAAGAGGGCGUCGAGUCAGUUGCGGUAGACGCGAAACCAAGUGAUCUACCCUUGGCCAGGAUGAAGUCUGGGUAACACCAGAUGGAGGUCCGCACCAAUAAGCGUUGAAAAGCUUCUGGAUGAGCUGAGGGUAGGGGUGAAAGGCUAAUCAAACUUGGAGAUAGCUCGUACUCCCCGAAAUGCAUUUAGGUGCAGCCUCGCGGGUUACUGAUGUGAGGUAGAGCGACUGAUUGGAUGCGAGGGCUUCACCGCCUAUCAAGUCCUGACAAACUCCGAAUGCGCAUCAGUUUUACCGCGGGAGUGAGGGCAUGGGUGCUAAGGUCCGUGCCCGAGAGGAGAAGAAUCCGGACUAUCAGCUAAGGCCCCGAAAUGACAGCUAAGUUAAACUAACGAAGUCUGAUUGCUAAGACAGCUAGGAUGUUGGCUUGGAAGCAGCCAUUCAUUUAAAGAGUGCGUAACAGCUCACUAGUCGAGGAAUCGGGCGUGGAUAAUAAUCGGGUAUGAAGUUGUCUGCCGAAGCUAUAGAAUCAGCAAUGAUUGGUAGGGGAGCAUUCCAUUCCGCGUAGAAGGCGUGGCGUGAGCCAUUCUGGAGCGUAUGGAAAAGCAAAUGUAGGUAUAAGUAACGAUAAAGGGGGUGGGAAACCCCCUCGCCGAAAGACUAAGGUUUCCUGAUCAACGCUAAUCGGAUCAGGGUAAGUCGGGUCCUAAGGCUCAGCCGAACGGCGAUGCCGAUGGCAGAAACGGUUAAUAUUCCGUUACUACCUUUGAGGGUGACGUGGGGACGCAGGAGUGACACCGCCGCCGGCUGACGGAAUAGCCGGUUAAAGAGUGUAGACGUAGAUUUCCGCAGGCAAAUCCACGGAAAGAGUCGAACUUGACAGUAUGGAACGUCCUUCGGGACAAUCCAAUAGUGCGGGUAAGCAGACUGCCGAGAAAAUCCGCUAAACAUAACUUCAGAGGUACCCGUACCGCAAACGGACACACGUAGUCGGGUUGAAUAUACUAAGGCGCUUGAGUGAUUCACGGUUAAGGAACUAGGCAAACUGACCCUGUAACUUCGGGAUAAAGGGUCCCUACCCAGAAAUGGGAGGGCGCAGAGAAUAGGUCCAGGCAACUGUUUAACAAAAACACAGGGCUGUGCCAAUAUGAAAGUAGACGUAUACAGCCUGACACCUGCCCGGUGCUGGAAGGUUAAGAGGAGAUGUCAUCGCAAGAGAAGCAUUGAAUUGAAGCCCCAGUAAACGGCGGCCGUAACUAUAACGGUCCUAAGGUAGCGAAAUUCCUUGUCGGGUAAGUUCCGACCCGCACGAAAGGCGUAAUGAUUUGGGCACUGUCUCGACAAUGCACCCGGUGAAAUUGAAAUACCAGUGAAGAUGCUGGUUACCUGCGCCAGGACGGAAAGACCCCAUGGAGCUUUACUCCAGCUUGAUACUGGGAUUCGAUACUGUAUGUACAGGAUAGGUGGGAGACGUUGAGCAUAGAACGCCAGUUUUAUGUGAGUCGCUGUUGGGAUACCACCCUUGCAGUAUUGGAUUUCUAACCAGCUGCCGUGACCCGGCAGUGGGACAAUGUCUGGCGGGGAGUUUGACUGGGGCGGUCGCCUCCGAAAGGGUAUCGGAGGCGCUCAAAGGUUCCCUCAGAAUGGUUGGAAACCAUUCGAAGAGUGCAAAGGCAGAAGGGAGCUUGACUGCGACACCGACGGGUGGAGCAGGUACGAAAGUAGGACUUAGUGAUCCGGUGGUAUAAAGUGGGAUUGCCAUCGCUCAACGGAUAAAAGCUACCCUGGGGAUAACAGGCUUAUCACUCCCAAGAGUUCACAUCGACGGAGUGGUUUGGCACCUCGAUGUCGGCUCAUCGCAUCCUGGGGCUGUAGUAGGUCCCAAGGGUUGGGCUGUUCGCCCAUUAAAGCGGUACGCGAGCUGGGUUCAGAACGUCGUGAGACAGUUCGGUCCCUAUCUGUCGUGGGCGAAGGAUAUUUGAAAGGAGCUGUCCCUAGUACGAGAGGACCGGGAUGGACGCACCUCUGGUGCACCAGUUGUCACGCCAGUGGCACAGCUGGGCAGCUAAGUGCGGAUCGGAUAAACGCUGAAAGCAUCUAAGCGUGAAGCCGUCCUUAAGAUAAGAUAUCCCACUUUUAAGUUAAGACCCCUUGUAGACUACGAGGUUGAUAGGUCUAAGGUGUAAGUUGUGUGAGCAAUUUAGCCAGCAGAUACUAAUCGGUCGAGGGCUUAAACCU